rnacentral:misc_RNA from 1 species
UCCGGCUUAUCGCCGGCAGUCUCUCCAGAGUCCCCAGCUUGACCUGAUGGUAACUGAAGAUAAGGGUUGCGCUCGUUGCGGGACUUAACCCAACAUCUCACGACACGAGCCGACGACGGCCAUGCAGCACCUGUGUUCUGGCUCUCUUUCGAGCACUCCCAAAUCUCUCUAGGAUUCCAGACAUGUCAAGGGUAGGUAAGGUUUUUCGCGUUGCAUCGAAUUAAACCACAUCAUCCACCGCUUGUGCGGGUCCCCGUCAAUUCCUUUGAGUUUCGGUCUUGCGACCGUACUCCCCAGGCGGAGUGUUUCACGCGUUAGCUGGGCCCCUGAUCCACGUAGACCAAGGGCGAACACUCAUCGUUUACGGCAUGGACUAC